rnacentral:rRNA from 1 species
GACGAACGCUGGCGGCGUGCUUAACACAUGCAAGUCGAACGGAAAGGCCCUGCUUUUGUGGGGUGCUCGAGUGGCGAACGGGUGAGUAACACGUGAGUAACCUGCCCUUGACUUUGGGAUAACUUCAGGAAACUGGGGCUAAUACCGGAUAGGAGCUCCUGCUGCAUGGUGGGGGUUGGAAAGUUUCGGCGGUUGGGGAUGGACUCGCGGCUUAUCAGCUUGUUGGUGGGGUAGUGGCUUACCAAGGCUUUGACGGGUAGCCGGCCUGAGAGGGUGACCGGCCCAAUGGGGACUGUGAUACGGUCCAAACCCCUCGGGGGGGCAGCGGUGGGGAAUUUUGCAAAAGGGGCGGAGGCCUGAUGCACCAACGCCGGGGGCGGGAGGAGGGCCUUGGGGUUGUAAACCGCUUUCCCCUGUAACGAAGCGUGGGUGCCGGUAAUGGUUAAAGAAGCACCGGCUAACUACGU